UGGGGAAUAUUGCACAAUGGGGGAAACCCUGAUGCAGCAACGCCGCGUGAGUGAAGAAGUAUUUCGGUAUGUAAAGCUCUAUCAGCAGGGAAGAAAAUGACGGUACCUGAGUAAGAAGCCCCGGCUAACUACGUGCC
rnacentral:rRNA from 1 species